rnacentral:rRNA from 1 species
AAAGGGCGUUAUAUUUUAGAUAAUGUCGCUGUUCUCCAUGAGACGCUUCACUCACUACAUAAGUCUAAAUGCGCUGCUGUUAUUUUUAAGGUUGAUUUUGAGAAAGCUUAUGAUAAAAUUAAUUGGGACUUUAUGCUUAGUACGCUGAAAAUGAAGGGGUUUCCUGAUAAAUUUAUUCGUUGGACAAAAGCAGUUAUUCAUAAUGGUAAAGUAGCUAUUACUUUAAAUGACUUGAUUGGCCCCUAUUUUGUUACUAGGAAAGGAUUGAGGCAGGGGGACCCGUUCUCUCCCCUAUUGUUUAACCUUGCUGCUGAUGUUCUUGCUACCCUGGUUCAAAGAGCACAAGAACAAGGAUUUAUUAAAGGAGUUCUGCCUAGAUUGUAUGAGGGUGGUCUUACAGUCUUACAAUAUGCUGAUGAUACGAUUUUCUGCUUUGAAGAUGACUUAGAAGGGGCUAGAAACCUUAAAGUCAUUCUAUGCGUGUUUGAGCACUUGACGGGUUUGAAAAUCAAUUUCUUAAAAAGUGAAAUCCAUUGCUUUGGUGCCGCUUUAUUGAAACAAGAAGAAUAUGCUCAGAUUUUCACUUGUGCGGUCGGGGACUUCCCCUUUACUUAUUUAGGCCUUCCUUUACAUUUUAAAAAGUUGCAUAAUGCGCAUUGGAAACCAGCUGAAGAGAAAAUUGAGAAGAAGGCAGCAACCUGGCAAGGGGGUUUGCUUUCAAUGGGUGAUAGGAUCACCCUCGCUGAGACUUGUAUGAGUAAUGUU